rnacentral:lncRNA from 10 species
UGUUGGGGUUCCCUUCCACAAUGUAGAGCCUUUGUUGUUUUGCUCUUUGUAAUAAAUCUCGCUGUUGCUGAGUUUUUGAGUCUGCCCUGCCUUUAUGAGUUGUAACACUCACCGUGAAGGUCUGUAGCUUCACCCCUGAGGCCAGUGAAACCACGAACCCACCAGGAGGAAUGAACAACUCCAGACGCGCCUGCCUUAAGAGCUGUACCACUCACCUUGAAGGUCUGCAGUUUCUCUUCUGAAGCCAGCGAGGCUACGAACCCACCAGAAGUAAGAAACUCUGAACGUGUAUGAACAUCAGAAGGAACAAACUCUGGACACAUCACCUUGAAGAACUGUAACACUCACCGCGAGGGUCCACGUCCUCAUUUUUGAGAAUCCCAGUGUGCUCAUCCCAUCUGUGACUCCUGGUCACCGACACAUAAAGUGUAGCACACUGCCAAGCAGCACCUAACUUUCAGAUUUCAUGGUGAACUUGUCCGUGUGGGAAAAGGAGUCCUCGCAACUACUGAGGAUGCUAUUGCUUACUUUGGAGGCAAGAAAUUAUUCUAAACCUAAUUAAUCCACCGCAUCAUAAAAACUUACACCGUUGCUGUCUGAAUUUGUCUAGAAGAGACUGCUGCACAAGUAUUUUCUAAGAAUCGCUUGAGAACCUGCUAAGAUACUUCCAGGCCCAGAUAAUUUAGGUUGUAAUGCAAGAUUAAGAAACUGAUGUACAGGAGAAAA